UUAAAAAUUGUGUAAAUGUGUUUCUAAAAUCUACAUGUUUAAAAUAAAAAAUUGUUUUGAACUCUUGGUUGUUCCAGUGUUAACAACUUUUUACAAUAGACAAAAUGUAUCUACAUUUGUCACAGGAAUAAUUCACACAUGUUGAGAUUAAACUAGCUAUUUCUAUUCACAUAUGCACGUAGACGUAUGCAAAAUAAUUGCACAGUAUUUUUCUAUUUUUUACAAUAAUUAAUAACAGAAUAUAUACGCUGGUUUGCGUGGCAAAAAAUAAAUUCGAUUAUACUAUACUAUAUUAUAGAUUAAAAUUUCAUUCUGUAAUGGUGAUGCAUUUUGUAAAUGAAAAAAAAAAUAUGUGUCAUUGUUUCAAAGAUUUAUUCGAAUGUGCUGAUGUCUUACAUUCCAUGCAUAGCAGCUGCCUUCUUCGAUGUCAAGGUUAUUUUCAACUUCGAUUAGACGGUUCUCGCUAAAAUAUUUUUUGCCGGAAUAAAUGAACGGUUGGAACAUAUAUCUAUCUCUAUGAAUAUUCAUCGUUGACAAAGAAUUAAUUUGCGAUUCACAUUUGUCGCAAGUUUCGUCAAUGGAUUUCUUUUUUCGCCGGAAUCCCCGAUCGUAUCGGAACGAAACGUUUCUUUUUUUUAGCUUGGCUCGAUGGCUGAAGAAUGGGGUAAAAAAGAAUACCGUUUCGUUAUCCGCAAGCUAUUUUUGGAACCGUCAGUUUUUAGUCGGACGGAGGCGAACGUUGAGUAACAUUUGUCUGAUUCUGACCUUCUCGCAAUCGAUAAAAUAUUUCAUUGAUUUUAUUGGCCGGGAUAGACGAUAAAGAUGCGCGUAAUUGGUGGCUAAAAAUGUCAUCAGAACAUUACGUUCUAUUAUGUACCACUGCACGAGUAGCGUUCGUACACAACUACAGGGUUAUCCAAAAUAGACUAUAGAAAUUUUUUUUUAAAUAAAAAACAAACCGUUUUGAA